rnacentral:rRNA from 1 species
AGAGUUUGAUCAUGGCUCAGAUUGAACGCUGGCGGCAUGCCUUACACAUGCAAGUCGAGCGGCAGCGCGGGGCAACCUGGCGGCGAGCGGCGAACGGGUGAGGAAUACAUCGGAACGUGCCCGAGAGUGGAGGAUAACGCCGCGAAAGCGGCGCUAAUACCGCAUAUUCUCUGAGGAGGAAAGUGGGGGACCGCAAGGCCUCACGCUCACGGAGCGGCCGAUGUCGGAUUGGCUAGUUGGUGGGGUAAAGGCUUACCAAGGCGACGAUCCGUAGCUGGUCUGAGAGGAUGAUCAGCCACACUGGGACUGAGACACGGCCCAGACUCCUACGGGAGGCAGCAGUGGGGAAUUUUGGACAAUGGGGCAACCCUGAUCCAGCCAUGCCGCGUGCGGGAAGAAGGCCUUCGGGUUGUAAACCGCUUUUAACCGGGAAGAAAAGGCAUCUCUUAAUACGGGGUGUUCUUGACGGUACCGGUGGAAUAAGCACCGGCUAACUACGUG